AAUUUGGGGGGAGGAGGGACCGGAUUUCUCGGAAAGUGUUUUUUAAUUAUCUUUAACCAGUGGUAGUUUGCUUCAACUAUUAUAUUGGUUGUUAUAAAUGGCACUUCAUUUGAUUUCUUUAAAAAUUUUACGUGGCUUUCCGUUACUUGUAUAGAAACUAAGCCCGGGUAUGUACACUACGGUAACUCGCAGCGCCAUGUCUGCAAUUAAGAAAACAUUUUUUGAAUUUUGCACUUCCUGUGUUCAAAGUAAACAAUUUUAAUAUCCAAUGGACACAGAUUGCCCAACCACGCAUUAACUUACGAGAAAAGGUGAGCGAUGACUAUUUUUGGACCGAGUUCUCGCAUGGUUACCUUUGCCUUAGGAUAGAGCGUGGCAGACUGCCGUUUUUUUUCCCUUUACUAAGUCACACCCAGCCAAGGCAGAAAACAAAGACAAAAAACGCCCAGACAGACAGCGUCAGCAAAAUGCCCCUGCCCCCAUGCCCUCUAAAAGCGUCGGUCUCCGGGCUGUUAGCUGACGCUGUCGCCUCCCGUCCGGGGAACUUGGAGGUUCGCUUCUCGCGCAGGCGCCACCCUUAGGUGUCCAGAUGGGAGGGGGACGACGCGGUCUACCCCGGAAGCGCACCCUCGGCGCGGUUUUUCCCUGCCGUCCCGCCGCCCAGGCAGAAGGCGCCUUGCGGGGAAGCCUCGGGUAACGUCGGCUCUGGGUCGUCGCUGGGAGCGGUAGUUUGCACGCGCCCGGCGGCACCGCGCGCAAGCGCAGAGGGGGGCCGGUGGGAACUACACUUCCCAGGGGCCCUCGGCCGGGGGCGGGGCCGGGGCGGGGCUCCCGGCGAAGGCGACGAUUGUGGCGGCUCGUUCGUAAUGGUAGCGGCGCCUCCGGCCCGGGUCAGAGUGGCUUGAGAGGCCGGGGGACAGCCGAGCGGUGAUUCGUGGGCGAAAGGAGCGGAGGAGCUGGUGUGUUGCCUGCCCGGCACCCAGGAGGGCGGGCGGUGCGCGGACAGACCCUCGCGCCGUGGCGGACUGCAGCUGGCGUCCGCCCGGGUCGGCGCGGCCCGCGGGCGGCCGGCGGUUUGGGCCGUGGGCGGCUGCUGCGGAGGAGCGCGCCGCGCGGGUGCCUCGGUCCGCGGGGACCGGCCUCCGCGCGCGCCGUCCUGUAACCCUCGCCGCGGGGCGUCCGUGGAUUUGAAGGAGGCGCGUUGGGCGGGCUGGUGUUGGAAAUUAUUAGCUCUUCUAGCUUUUACAUUAUUUAAAUACAGUAGUGUCAUUGGACUAAAAUGUUCCUGAUGCCAACCUCUUCAGAGUUAAAUAGUGGGCAGAACUUCUUGACUCAGUGGAUGACCAAUCCUUCUCGGGCUGGGGUCAUAUUAAAUCGUGGAUUUUCUAUUUUGGAAGCAGACGAAGAGAAUCGAGCAAAUGUGAACAUUUCUACCAGCUUUCCUGUUAAAGCCACGCGUUUUUCAAAUAGUUUCAGUUUUAUAAGUGAAGAAGAUUCACUUCGUGAAGAACAGAGAUUGGAGUGUGACAGCCCUUACAAACUACAGCCUGAUAAAUCUGAAGCGCUUACCGUCUUUCCUUUAACUAAAGAGGAACUUCCAAUAGUGGCAUGUCAGGAUGCUCCUGGACACUGGGGAGAUCACAAAAAUGAUGCUGUGUCAGAUCUUGCGAGUGAAUUCAAAGAAGUGGCUUACAAAGACCCGCUUUUCAAAAAGCUUGAGCAGCUGAAAGAAGUACAACAGAAGAAGCAGGAACAACUGAAGAGGCAACAGUUAGAGCAGCUACAAAGACUCAUGGAAGAACAAGAGAGGCUGCUUACUGCGGUGUCUGGGCAGCAUACACUCCCAGGUCUAACUCUACUUCCUGAUGAUAAGAGCCAGAAGUACAGAUCUCCAGGAAAUGCAACCACUGUGGAGAAAACCGCACCCUUCUUAUCCUCAUGUAUCUACCAGAAUCAAACCCAAGAAAAAAUGCACACUUCCAACGUUUUAGCCAAUGAACAAAACUUCUGUAGGACUACUCAUCAAGAUUUUAUCUUAACUUCAAAAAGUGGUGCUUCUCCCAAUUUGUUUUAUGAGGCACAGUAUCAAGAAGCGCUUGUGAAAAAAAAUGAUUUGAAGGAAGAAAACCAAAACCGUCCUAUAGGAGAAGGUAUUUUACCAUGUUGGGAGAAAAUGACGGAACAGAUUCAGGAAGGGAAUGAUACAAAUGUAAAAAACAUUGGUGACUCCUCAGAAGUGGUGAAUAUUGAAGAAAGGCCUAUUAAAGCUGCUAUUGGAGAAAAGAAACAGACAUUUGAAGACUACUUAGAAGAACAAAUUCGGUUGGAAGAACAAGCACUAAAACAAAAACAGCUAAGGGAAACAGAAGGAUCAUUGUUAAUCAAAGCAAAACCAAAACAACCGUUCUUAAAACGAGGAGAAGGUUUAGCUAGAUUUACUAAAGCUAAAUCUAAGUUGCAGAAAGGGAGAGAAGGUGAACUAGUGACUAAUCAGAGCAUUUCAGAGGACCAAGCUGUGUUUAAAGUAGACAGACAGCAAUUCCAGCGGAAAACUGCUUUUAUAAGUAAAGAACCGUGUACAGAGAACCUUCCUGCUAGAAAAAACAGUAAAGCUGGAACGAAAAGUGGUUCUGUCACACUCAGUCAAAAGCCGAAAGUGCUUAAGAGUAAUAAUAGGAAAAGUCUGUCUCCGUCAGGAUGGAAAAUACCAGCAGGGAAGAAAGGUGAUGGGCAAUUUAGAGACCAGAUCAAAUUGAGAAGAAAAGUGGAAUCUAAUAAUAAAGAAAAUGUACCUGAGUCUACAAAACCUUUUGAUAGUGGUUGCAAAGUCUGGAAUAGCACACAAGGUAAAGACAAACUCCCCCUUUCGACUGGGCUGGCCAGCUGCAUGGCUUCUAAGAGCCUGAAAGGUGAGACCUUGAAAGAGUCAGAAUCUUCUCUUGACGUUUCUCUUCAGCAAAAGUUAGAGAACUGGGAACGAGAAAAGGAAAAGGAAAACUUGGAAUUAGAUGAAUUUUUGUUUUUAGAACAAGCUGCUGAUGAAAUAUCAUUUUCCAGUAAUUCCUCUUUUGUGCUGAAGAUCUUAGAGAGGGACCAACAGAUCUGUAAAGGUCACCGGCUGUCUUCUACCCCUGUCAAAGCUGCACAGCAGGAGAAGACGAUAGCAUCGGAUCCCAGUAGUCUCUGUAACCAAAAUGAGGAUCCAGACCUUCCUGAACAUGAAUGUAAGAGUGACUGUGAAGUCGCAACCAAGCAGCUUGAUUCAGUGGCCUCACCCGAUGGAUUGAAGGAACAGUCAUGUAAAGUCACUAGGAAAGCAUUCCAAAUGAGCACUUCUGAAAGGCAAACUAGGUGGAAGGCAAGUGAUGAUGAAGGUGUUAUGAGCAGUGACAGUAGCACUAACUCUGAGGAACAACUUGAUGUUACCGUAAAACUAUCAAUGGAGGAUAAAGAAAGGUGCUUCCGCAGCAGAGAGGAUAGUCCACAAGUCUGUGAUGGUAAGGGACCUUUUAGGGACACUGGGACUCAAGAAGAAGAUAAAAGGAGAGAUGCUGAUUUAGAUUUGUCUGAUAAAGAUUAUAGUAGUGAUGAGUCCGUCAUAAUAGAAAGCUUGAAAAAUAAAGUUUCUGAGUCCUCAAGAAGACCCUCAUCAAUAAAUAUGAGUAAAAUUGACUUUGAUGAUGAAAGAACAUGGACCGACCUUGAAGAGAAUUCAUUUAAACAUGAUGGUAUUCUUGGGAAUGAAGCCGUUUAUGGGACUCCCCAGAUAACCUACCCUAAAAAGAGUGAAAUAGGUGUAUUGGACAAAACAAUAAAAAGGAAAGUUGCCCCCGUCAAGAAUGGAGAAGACUUGAGCAGUUCCAGCAGGGGCACAAGUCCUCCUCUUGCAUCGGAUCUGAUGAUGAAAUUCUUCCCUUCUUUGAAACCUAAACCAAAAUCUGGUUCACUCUUGGGAAAUGAACCGAAGUUAUACGUAAGUCAAGACCAGCCACCUGUUGACAGUGCUCGAUCUCAAGUUUUGAGAGAGAAAGUUAUUGAAUUGGAAAUGGAAAUAGAAAAAUUUAAAGCUGAGAACACGUCUUUAGCUAAACUUCGCAUUGAACGAGAAAGAGCCUUGGAAAAACUCAGGAAAGAAAUUGCAGACUUUGAACAACAGAAAGCAAAAGAAUUAGCUCGAAUAGAAGAGUUUAAAAAGGAGGAAAUGAGGAAGCUACAAAAAGAACGCAAAGUUUUUGAAAAGUAUGCUACAGUUGCAAGAACUUUUCCAGAUAAAAAGGAACGUGAAGAAAUACAGGCUUUGAAACAGCAGAUAGCAGAUUUACAGGAAGAUUUGAAAAGAAAGGAAGCAAAAUGGUCAAGCACACAUGGUCGUCUUAGAAGCCAGAUAGAAGUUUUGGUCAAAGAGAACACAGACCUCCGGGAAGAAAUAAAAGUGAUGGAAAGAUUCCGACUAGAUGCCUGGAAGAAAGCAGAAGCUACCGAGAGCAGCACCAAGACGGGGCAGUGUGUGACUGCUGUGAAAAAAGAUGGGUCCAUGAAUUCAUCAGUCCAAUUUCAAAAGAGUCAGAUUUCUUCAGGAACCCAGGUAGAAAAAUAUAAGAAAAGCUAUUUAUCAACACAAGGCAAUCCAUCUCGAAGAUCCAAGUCCGUGCCUCCUUGUGAUUUAGGCAGUUCGGAUAAGGGACAGACUGCCUCACCCAGGGAGCUCCCUGAACCAGCGGACUUCCCAGAUCCCGACUAUAAAGAGGAGGAUGAAAAAGAGGAGAAAGAGGAAAUUCAGGGAGAAAUCAGUCAUCCUGAUGGAAAGACUGUUGAUGGGGCUUGAAGACCUGCGGUACUUUGGGCGUGACCUCGGCUUAAACCUUCGGAUUCCUCUGAAAAGACAGUGUGCAUUUAGUUGCCAUUUCUACUUCAGAGAUGCAGCUGGAGAAGGGAUACAGUCCCUUUGUUUAAACUCUUUGUUCUUCUUCCAGACAAAGCUAAAAAGCCUUUGUAAUCCUUUACUUUUAAAAAUACUUUCAAAAUACUUUUUAAAAGCCUCAGUUCUAGGCCUGCUGUUUCCUGCGGCCUUUCUUAAAUAGAGCCUGGGUCACGUGUCUCUCUCUCCAUCUCUAGCCUGCACAAGUUUAUUCUUGGGCAUCAGCAAGGUUUGGAGUGGGAAGACUGCCUGGCUGGGUAUUCCAGCUCCGAGGAGGAAUGAAAAAGGAAGGGACAUAAACAGGGUUUGUUACUGGGGAGGUGAUGAGGGAAUGUUUUCUCAGGUUUAUAAAACAUUUACUUUUCCAAAUACCCUCAUCGGAUCCAUUUUAAUUGAAAUUUUAAGGCCGGAGUUUACUGCUAGUCUUGAGGAAUGAGGGAAGGACAAAGAACAAGUGAGAGGAAGUAGUUCGACUUCCUGUACGAACUCUACUCUAGGGUAACAAAUUGUCGAUGUGGCAGGGUUUCCUGUGAUAGGAGAAUUCCAGCUAAUAAAUGGAAAAGGAAUGAGAAGGAGACCCAUCAGUUUGCAACCUCUAAUGAGGUAAAGGAUCUAGGCAGCAGUCACCACUGACUCCUGACACCGCAGAUGAAAGGUGGAUGGGGUCUCAAGGCAGGUCUGUGACCCAUCAGGCCUGGGGUCGGGGAGACAACUGCAUACCGUGCUUCUGAACCUGUUGCCACAGCAGCUCACAGCAGCACCUAGAAAGUAUUCUUAUCAGAAUAAUUCCACUGGAGGUUAAUCAAGCCUCUAGGUCUAACUACUAGCUUUUUCAAGGAGGUACAGGGGAUGUAAGAACAUGUUAAAUGACAUCAUAAUGGGAAAGCAGUCAAAUCCAGAAUGUGAGCAAUGUUCAGGGACCCAGUUCCUUCAACAAGUAAUUGGCAUUGAAGAGGAGGAAAGGACGAGACUGUUAAAAUUGAGAUUUAAGAAACACAUCAACCCAGUGUUAUAGAAAAGGUUUAUAAGAAUGGGUGCCAUGUUCUCUUGUUUCCAAAUGGAACUCAAAAAGAAGUGAGUGCAGAUGGGAAGACUGUCACCGUCACUUUCUUUAAUGGCGAUGUGAAGAAGGUCAUGCCAGACGAG